UACAGAGGUCCCAAGCGUUGUUCGGAUUCACUGGGCGUAAAGGGUGCGUAGGUGGUUAGGUAAGUCCGAUGUGAAAUCUCCAGGCUCAACCUGGAAAUGGCAUUGGAUACUAUCUAGCUUGAGGAGUGGAGGGGGGACUGGAAUUCUCGGUGUAGCAGUGAAAUGCGUAGAUAUUCGCAAGAACACCAGUGGCGAAGGCGGCUCACUGGCCCGAUACUGACGCUGAGGUGCGAAAGCGUGGGGAGCAAACAGG
rnacentral:rRNA from 1 species